UGGGGCGUGGUGUAAUCGGCAACACAUCGGUUUUUGGCACCGACUUUGAGGGUUCGAGUCCUUCCGCCCCAA
rnacentral:tRNA from 1 species